rnacentral:miRNA from 1 species
GGAAUUGGUGGAUUGGAAAGC